rnacentral:rRNA from 1 species
UUUAGGAAAAAAUAUAAAGCUAGAUUAGUAUUAGUUAAAUACUUAAAAAUUAAAAGAUUUGGCGGUGAUUUAAUCUUUUCAGAGGAAUUUGUUUUUUAAUCGAUAAACCACGAAGAAUCUUACUUGUUUUUGUUAAAUAAUCAGUUUGUAUACCAUCAUUAUCAGAUAAUUCUAAAAAGAAAAAUUAUCAAAUUUAAAUAUUUAUUAAAAUUAGAUCAUGGUGCAGCUUAUAAACAAGGUAAAAUGAAUUACAAUAAAUUGUUUUAUAAUGAAUUAAUAAGAUAAUUCUUAUUAUGAAGGAGGAUUUGAUGGUAUUAUAAAUUUAAUAAGUUUAUAGGAUAAAGGCUCUAAAUCAUGU